rnacentral:rRNA from 1 species
AGUGAACGCUGGCGGUAGGCCUAACACAUGCAAGUCGAACGGCAACACAGUAAAAGCUUGCUCUUACCUGUGGCGAGUGGCGGACGGGUGAGGAAUACAUCGGAAUCUACUUUUUCGUGGGGGAUAACGUAGGAAAACUUACUCUAAUACCGCAUACUACCUACGGGUGAAAGCAGGGGAUCUUCGCACCUUGCGCGAUUGAAUGAGCCGAUGUCGGAUUAGCUAGUUGGCGGGGUAACGGCCCACCAAGGCGACGAUCCGUAGCUGGUCUGAGAGGAUGAUCAGCCACACUGGAACUGAGACACGGUCCAGACUCCUACGGGAGGCAGCAGUGGGGAAUAUUGGACAAUGGGCGCAAGCCUGAUCCAGCCAUACCGCGUGUGUGAAGAAGGCCUUCGGGUUGUAAAGCACUUUUGUUGGGAAAGAAAAGAAGCAGGUUAAUACCUCGCUGUUUUGACGGUACCCAAAGAAUAAGCACCGGCUAACUUCGUG